UACGUAGGGUGCGAGCGUUGUUCGGAGUUAUUGGGCGUAAAGGGCGUGUAGGCGGCUUGAGAAGUCUGGUUUGAAAUGCACUGGCUCAACUGGUGCGCUGGGUCAGAAACUGGCAGGCUUGAGUUCAUGGGGAGGAGCUGGAAUUCCAGGUGUAGGGGUGAAAUCUGUAGAGAUCUGGAAGAACACCGGUAGCGAAGGCGGGCUCCUAUGGAUGGACUGACGCUGAGGCGCGAAAGCGUGGGGAGCAAACAGG
rnacentral:rRNA from 1 species